AGGUCAGUACCACAGACAGAGACCAGACUGUCCAGGAUCCAGCUGUCUGUGUGUGAAGAGGGACUGGUCCAGACCUGAUCCUGUGGCCUUCAGUCCUGAACUCAGACCCUGAGACUGUUUGUCAAGCGUCCACUCACUGCCAAAUGUGAAGAAGAGCAAAGUGUGAAGUCAGACUCCAUUUUAAAGUCCACAGAGAAGAAGAAGGAGGAAACAGGAAGUGGGAAGCAGGGUGAGUGUUAAUAUGACACCUGCACAUAUUGAUCCAUGUCAUUGAUGAAUGUUGGGAUUGAGUCUGGUUUAGACUUGUGUUUCCUGACGUCACAGUCGAACUGUGUCUCUGGGACGGUUCCAUCAAACUAAUAUCCAAUCAAUAAGAAGCUGCUGCCGUUACAGGGGGACAGCUGACUGGGUUUGUUCCUCUGGUCUCCAGGGUCCCUUGUUUCCCUCUUAGACCACACAAAAUGAGUCUUUGUCAGGGGGAAGAGGAGGACAGACCAGGGUCUCCAGGAUCCAGCUGUCUGUCCAUGAAGAGUGACUGGUCCAAAAAUCAUCCUCUUAACUUCAGUCCUGAAGCUGGACUCUCAUACCCAGGAGGUCAUUACCACAGACAGAGACCAGGGUCUCCAGGAUCCAGCUGUCUAUCCAUGAAGAGUGACUUGUCGAAAAAUCAUCCUCUGAACUUCAGUCCUGGACCUGGACUCUCAUACCCAGGAGGUCAUUACCACAGACAGAGACCAGGGUCUCCAGGAUCCAGCUGUCUAUCCAUGAAGAGUGACUGGUCCAAAAAUCAUCCUCUGAACUUCAGUCCUGGACCUGGACUCUCAUACCCAGGAGGUCAUUACCACAGACAGAGACCAGGGUCUCCAGGAUCCAGCUGUCUAUCCAUGAAGAGUGACUUGUCCAAAAAUCAUCCUCUGAACUUCAGUCCUGGACCUGGACUCUCAUACCCAGGAGGUCAUUACCACAGACAGAGACCAGGGUCUCCAGGAUCCAGCUGUCUAUCCAUGAAGAGUGACUUGUCGAAAAAUCAUCCUCUGAACUUCAGUCCUGGACCUGGACUCUCAUACCCAGGAGGUCAUUACCACAGACAGAGACCAGGGUCUCCAGGAUCCAGCUGUCUAUCCAUGAAGAGUGACUGGUCCAAAAAUCAUCCUCUGAACUUCAGUCCUGGACCUGGACUCUCAUACCCAGGAGGUCAUUACCACAGACAGAGACCAGGGUCUCCAGGAUCCAGCUGUCUAUCCAUGAAGAGUGACUGGUCCAAAAAUCAUCCUCUGAACUUCAGUCCUGGACCUGGACUCUCAUACCCAGGGUAAGAGCCUGUUUGUAUUUUAAACUGAGCAUUCUACCUUGCAGGUGUUAUGGAGACUCUCACAGGAACAGGUUUUUAUCCAGCUCAAACUGUCUCCCUUUAUCUUAGUAUCAGUUCUGCUAACGAAGACGCUCUGAGCUGCAUUUGGAAAAUGUCCUGGUGUUUCUCCUCAGAUUCAUGGGACUGGUAGUGUUAGUAGGACAGUGGGCAGGGGACAGGAAGCAGCUGAGGAUGGUAUCAUAGACCUCCAGGUGUUCCAGGCACCAUGCCAACAGUCACUGUAACUACGGGGUCUGCGCUGCCCUGUUCCCCCUGAUUAUAAUGAACCAACCAGUGGGUCUUAGCCAGCAGUGUGGCCCCACUACAGGACGCGCAAAGACUGGAGGAGGGUCUGUGGACAUUUCGUAGCCUGUGGAGGAGGGUCGGUGGACAUUUUUUUAUGAUUUUAUGUGAUGUUAGAAUCGUCUACUUCAGU
rnacentral:lncRNA from 1 species